UACGGAGGGGGCUAGCAUUGUUCGGAAUUACUGGGCGUAAAGCGCGCGUAGGCGGAUCUGCAAGUCGGGGGUGAAAUCCCGAGGCUCAACCUCGGAACUGCCUUCGAUACUGCGGGUCUCGAGUCCGGGAGAGGUGAGUGGAAUUCCUAGUGUAGAGGUGAAAUUCGUAGAUAUUAGGAAGAACACCAGUGGCGAAGGCGGCUCACUGGCCCGGUACUGACGCUGAGGCGCGAAAGCGUGGGGAGCAAACAGG
rnacentral:rRNA from 1 species